rnacentral:rRNA from 1 species
UACGGAGGAUCCAAGCGUUAUCCGGAUUUAUUGGGGUUUUAAAGGGGUGCGUAGGCGGCUUUUUUUUUUAAGUCAGGGGUGAAAGACGGUGGCUCAACCAUCGCAGUGCCUUUGAUACUGAGAAGCUUGAUUAAACUUGAGGCAGGCGGAAUGUGACAAGUAGCGGUGAAAUGCAUAGAUAUGUCACAGAACACCGAUUGCGAAGGCAGCUUGCUAAGGUUUUUAAUGACGCUGAGGCACGAAAGCGUGGGGAUCAAACAGG